rnacentral:rRNA from 1 species
GACGUAGGGCGCGAGCGUUGUCCGGAUUUAUUGGGCGUAAAGAGCUCGUAGGCGGUCUGUCGCGUCGGCUGUGAAACCCCGAGGCUCAACCUCGGGCCUGCAGUCGAUACGGGCAGACUAGAGUAUGGCAGGGGAGACUGGAAUUCCUGGUGUAGCGGUGAAAUGCGCAGAUAUCAGGAGGAACACCGGUGGCGAAGGCGGGUCUCUGGGCCAUAACUGACGCUGAGGAGCGAAAGCAUGGGGAGCGAACAGG